rnacentral:lncRNA from 1 species
GUAACACUCUGGGAGGGCUCAGGCCACAUCACCAAAUGUGACAGGAUAGCCUUGAACUCAUCAAUUGCUGGGGGCACCUCAAACUCAACUCCAAAAUUGAUCUAAUGAACUUUCCCAAACCACAUUCCCUUCUUGCAUUUCUGAGAGAAUGGAUUCCCAUUCAUCUGACUACAGUGCUAUCCUGAAAGCAGAUCCAGAGACUUAGAUUUCACCUGCAGAUGAUUCAUUUGCAAGGUAAGCUGUCAUCAGUUGGAGGUAAGCGGAAGACAGUAGAGAGUACAGAGCCCUGGACUGUGACUCAGAGGAUGAGCACCAGAUCCAGUUUGCUGUGCCACAGUGUCCUGAAGAUUUUCCUCACAGAAUCUUUCAUCUCUUUGUUCCUGAGACUAUAUAUUAGAGGAUUACAGAGUGGUGUUAUCACAGAAUAGAACAAG